rnacentral:rRNA from 1 species
GUUGAACGCUGGCGGCAUGCCUUACACAUGCAAGUCGAACGGCAGCACGGGAGCAAUCCUGGUGGCGAGUGGCGAACGGGUGAGUAAUAUAUCGGAACGUGCCCAGUGAUGGGGGAUAGCCCGGCGAAAGCCGGAUUAAUACCGCAUACGACCUACGGGUGAAAGCAGGGGAUCGCAAGACCUUGCGUCAUUGGAGCGGCCGAUAUCAGAUUAGCUUGUUGGNGGGGUAAAAGCCUACCAAGGCGACGAUCUGUAGCUGGUCUGAGAGGACGACCAGCCACACUGGGACUGAGACACGGCCCAGACUCCUACGGGAGGCAGCAGUGGGGAAUUUUGGACAAUGGGCGCAAGCCUGAUCCAGCCAUGCCGCGUGCGGGAAGAAGGCCU